rfam:Myotis lucifugus cont2.11404, whole genome shotgun sequence.
GAGACACCCCUAUGGAGCAGGACUCACUUCAGUGGGCUUUGGUGCUCAAUGAGUCUGCCCCUUGAGUGUGUCCCU